UACGUAGGGUCCAAGCGUUGUCCGGAUUUAUUGGGCGUAAAGAGCUCGUAGGCGGCUCAGUAAGUCGGAUGUGAAAACUCGGGGCUCAACCCCGAGACGCCAUCCGAUACUGCUGUGGCUUGAGUCUGGUAGGGGAACACGGAAUUCCUGGUGUAGCGGUGAAAUGCGCAGAUAUCAGGAGGAACACCGACGGCGAAGGCAGCACUCUGGGCCGGUACUGACGCUGAGGAGCGAAAGCGUGGGGAGCAAACAGG
rnacentral:rRNA from 1 species